UCAGGGGGCCGGGCAGCCGCGGGCCAUUAUGGCGCGAGGAAAGUCCGGGCUCCACGAAACAAGGGUGGCGGGUAACGCCCGCCGGUCCUGCCGCAAGGCGGGGCAAGGGAUAGUGCCACAGAAAGCAAACCGCCGAUGGCCGUGCCGCAAGGCUGGCACAGGCAAGGGUGAAAGGGUGCGGUAAGAGCGCACCGGGGCGCUGGCAACAGGGCUCGCAUGGCAAACCCCACCCGGAGCAAGGCCGAAUAGGGGCCUCGCGCCUGUGCAAACAGGCAGGAGUGUUUCGCUCCGAGAGGCCCGGGUUGGCUGCUUGAGCGGUGCAGCAAUGUGCCGCCUAGAUGAAUGGCUGCCGCCGCGCGAGUGAUGCCCCAAAGGCAUAUCAUGCGCGGAUACAGAACCCGGCUUACAGGCCCCCUGAUGUU
rnacentral:RNase_P_RNA from 2 species